UUGACCUCGGAUCAGGUAGGGAUACCCGCUGAACUUAAGCAUAUCAAUAAGCGGAGGAAAAGAAACCAACCGGGAUUGCCUCAGUAACGGCGAGUGAAGCGGCAAGAGCUCAAAUUUGAAAGCUGGCUCCUUCGGAGUCCGCAUUGUAAUUUGCAGAGGAUGCUUUGGGUGCGGCCCCCGUCUAAGUGCCCUGGAACGGGCCGUCAGAGAGGGUGAGAAUCCCGUCUUGGGCGGGGUGUCCGUGCCCGUGUAAAGCUCCUUCGACGAGUCGAGUUGUUUGGGAAUGCAGCUCUAAAUGGGUGGUAAAUUUCAUCUAAAGCUAAAUACUGGCCGGAGACCGAUAGCGCACAAGUAGAGUGAUCGAAAGAUGAAAAGCACUUUGAAAAGAGAGUUAAACAGCACGUGAAAUUGUUGAAAGGGAAGCGCUUGCGACCAGACUCGCCCGCGGGGUUCAGCCGGCAUUCGUGCCGGUGUACUUCCCCGUGGGCGGGCCAGCGUCGGUUUGGGCGGCCGGUCAAAGGCCCCUGGAAUGUAGUGCCCUCCGGGGCACCUUAUAGCCAGGGGUGCAAUGCGGCCAGCCUGGACCGAGGAACGCGCUUCGGCACGGACGCUGG
rnacentral:rRNA from 2 species